CCAGUGCCCUGUGAGGGAGAGGUAGGCAUGAUCUCCACCCCGGCUGCUCCAGAUGUCUAAGGUGAAGUGUAAGGCCAUCUGCGGACCUGCCUUGCUCAGCUUGUCCCUCAAGUACUCCUCACAUGCUUCACACAGGGAGGGUAGCACUGUCC